rnacentral:rRNA from 1 species
AACGAACGCUGGCGGCAGGCUUAACACAUGCAAGUCGAGCGCCCCGCAAGGGGAGCGGCAGACGGGUGAGUAACGCGUGGGAAUCUACCCAUCUCUACGGAAUAACGCAUGGAAACGUGUGCUAAUACCGUAUACGUCCUUCGGGAGAAAGAUUUAUCGGAGAUGGAUGAGCCCGCGUUGGAUUAGCUAGUUGGUGGGGUAAAGGCCUACCAAGGCGACGAUCCAUAGCUGGUCUGAGAGGAUGAUCAGCCACACUGGGACUGAGACACGGCCCAGACUCCUACGGGAGGCAGCAGUGGGGAAUAUUGGACGAUGGGCGCAAGCCUGAUCCAGCCAUGCCGCGUGAGUGAUGAAGGCCCUAGGGUUGUAAAGCUCUUUCACCGGUGAAGAUAAUGACGGUAACCGGAGAAGAAGCCCCGGCUAACUACGUGCCAGCCGCCGCUGUAACAC